GUGGGGAAUAUUCCGCAAUGGACGAAAGUCUGACGGAGCAACGCCGCGUGAGUGAUGAAGGUUUUCGGACUGUAAAGCUCUGUUGUUUAGGACGAAAGUGCCUGUUGCAAACAGUUACAGGUAUUGACGGUACUAAACGAGGAAGCCACGGCUAACUACGUGCCAGCAGCCGCGGUAAUACGUAGGUGGCAAGCGUUGGCCGGAAUUAUUGGGCGUAAAGAGCAUGUAGGCGGGAAUCUAAGUCUGUUGUGAAAAUGCGGGGCUCAACCCCGUAUUGCGAUGGCAACUGGGUUUCUUGAGUGCAGGAGAGGAAAGGGGAAUUCCCAGUGUAGCGGUGAAAUGCGUAGAUAUCGGGAGGAACACCAGUGGCGAAGGCGGCUUCCUGGCACAAUACUGACGCUCAUGUGCGAAAGCUAGGGCAGCGAACGGGAUUAGAUACCCUAGUAGUCC
rnacentral:rRNA from 1 species